AUGGGCGCAAGCCUGAUGCAGCGACGCCGCGUGAGGGAUGACGGCCUUCGGGUUGUAAACCUCUUUCAGCACAGACGAAGCGCAAGUGACGGUAUGUGCAGAAGAAGGACCGGCCAACUACGUGCCAGCAGCCGCGGUAAUACGUAGGGUCCGAGCGUUGUCCGGAAUUACUGGGCGUAAAGAGCUCGUAGGUGGUUUGUCGCGUUGUUCGUGAAAACUCACAGCUUAACUGUGGGCGUGCGGGCGAUACGGGCAGACUAGAGUACUGCAGGGGAGACUGGAAUUCCUGGUGUAGCGGUGGAAUGCGCAGAUAUCAGGAGGAACACCGGUGGCGAAGGCGGGUCUCUGGGCAGUAACUGACGCUGAGGAGCGAAAGCGUGGGGAGCGAACAGGAUUAGAUACCCUGGUAGUCCACGCCGUAAACGGUGGGUACUAGGUGUGGGUUUCCUUCCUUGGGAUCCGUGCCGUAGCUAACGCAUUAAGUACCCCGCCUGGGGAGUACGGCCGCAAGGCUAAAACUCAAAGGAAUUGACGGGGGCCCGCACAAGCGGCGGAGCAUGUGGAUUAAUUCGAUGCAACGCGAAGAACCUUACCUGGGUUUGACAUGCACAGGACGCUGGUAGAGAUAUCAGUUCCCUUGUGGCCUGUGUGCAGGUGGUGCAUGGCUGUCGUCAGCUCGUGUCGUGAGAUGUUGGGUUAAGUCCCGCAACGAGCGCAACCCUUGUCCUAUGUUGCCAGCGGGUUAUGCCGGGGACUCGUAGGAGACUGCCGGGGUCAACUCGGAGGAAGGUGGGGAUGACGUCAAGUCAUCAUGCCCCUUAUGUCCAGGGCUUCACACAUGCUACAAUGGCCGGUACAAAGGGCUGCGAUGCCGUGAGGUGGAGCGAAUCCUUUCAAAGCCGGUCUCAGUUCGGAUCGGGGUCUGCAACUCGACCCCGUGAAGUCGGAGUCGCUAGUAAUCGCAGAUCAGCAACGCUGCGGUGAAUACGUUCCCGGGCCUUGUACACACCGCCCGUCACGUCAUGAAAGUCGGUAACACCCGAAGCCGG
rnacentral:rRNA from 1 species